AGUCUGAUGGAGCAACGCCGCGUGAGUGAAGAAGGCUUUCGGGUCGUAAAACUCUGUUGUUGGAGAAGUAUGGUCGGCAGAGUAACUGUUGUCGGCGUGACGGUAUCCAACCAGAAAGCCACGGCUAACUACGUGCCAGCAGCCGCGGUAAUACGUAGGUGGCAAGCGUUAUCCGGAUUUAUUGGGCGUAAAGCGAGCGCAGGCGGUUUUUUAAGUCUGAUGUGAAAGCCCUCGGCUUAACCGAGGAAGUGCAUCGGAAACUGGGAAACUUGAGUGCAGAAGAGGACAGUGGAACUCCAUGUGUAGCGGUGAAAUGCGUAGAUAUAUGGAAGAACACCAGUGGCGAAGGCGGCUGUCUGGUCUGUAACUGACGCUGAGGCUCGAAAGCAUGGGUAGCGAACAGGAUUAGAUACCCUGGUAGUCCAUGCCGUAAACGAUGAAUGCUAGGUGUUGGAGGGUUUCCGCCCUUCAGUGCCGCAGCUAACGCAUUAAGCAUUCCGCCUGGGGAGUACGACCGCAAGGUUGAAACUCAAAGGAAUUGACGGGGGCCCGCACAAGCGGUGGAGCAUGUGGUUUAAUUCGAAGCAACGCGAAGAACCUUACCAGGUCUUGACAUCUUUUGAUCACCUGAG
rnacentral:rRNA from 2 species